rnacentral:rRNA from 1 species
CAGUAGCCGCGGGAAUACGUAGGGUGCAAGCGUUAAUCGGAAUUACUGGGCGUAAAGCGUGCGCAGGCGGUUCGGAAAGAAAGAUGUGAAAUCCCAGAGCUUAACUUUGGAACUGCAUUUUUAACUACCGGGCUAGAGUGUGUCAGAGGGAGGUGGAAUUCCGCGUGUAGCAGUGAAAUGCGUAGAUAUGCGGAGGAACACCGAUGGCGAAGGCAGCCUCCUGGGAUAACACUGACGCUCAUGCACGAAAGCGUGGGGAGCAAACAGGAUUAGAUACCCCUGUAGUCCCUGUCUCUUAUAC